rnacentral:lncRNA from 10 species
AGCUGGCGGCAGCUGCAGCGAGGGCUGAUUCCUCACCGGCUGGCUCUGUGCAUCCUCCCAGCCCUGGUCCCCAGCCCUCCCGAGGACAGUUCUGCACACUCCCUGAGACCCUUUACAGGAGCUCAUGUUGACCUAAUCAGCCAAUGUCAUCGUUUGUUCUUAAGAUGUGAAAACCAAAGCUAAGGGAGACAAAAUGACUGCAUCAAGGCCACACCCAGUGAGGGUAGAGACAGGACCAUACCUGAGCUAUCUGACUCCAGGCUCUGCAAUGGAAGUGGCGUCAUUCGUCUGGGGUAAUACCCAAGAUGGCAUCUCUAUCUGGAUGGUGGCUUGUUGCCUGCUUCUUUACUGUACACGUGGUUGACAAAGAAAAGGGAAGAUGGAGCCUCCAUGUUGAACAUGUCUGGCUCACAGCACCUGUAUCACAAUGCUAACUACAACAUGAUCAUCCCCCUCAGGGAAGUACAAGGUUAUUUAAAAGGACCAUCCAGGAAGCCUGAAGUACAUAUUGUAAACCAAAAAUAAAAUUCUAAGGCCUCACCAACUAUCUGGAUGGACUCUUCCUCUCAGCCAAGGGUAUUCCAAAGUUAACCUGAAAACCUAGUUCAGGCCAUGAUGGGAAGGGGGAGCCAGGCAUGCCUCAUGAUACCCUCCUCCCUUCUGGAACUACUGGAACAGACUCAGUGUGAUAAAAAUAAAAAGAGAAAAAAAUAUAUUUAUAGUCCAUUCUCUCUAAAGCCUGCUAACUGGAGGCUUCAUCUGCACAAUAAAACUUCCCUCUCCACAACCCUUUAUCUUAGCCUGGAUAUUCCUGUCUAUCAAUGAUAACUCUUUCAGCCAAUUGCCAAUCAGAAAACCUUUGAAUCCACCCAUGACUUGGAAGUCCCCACUUCCAGUUGUCCCACCUUUGUGGACCAAACCAAUGUACAUCUUAUGUGUAUUCAUUGAUGUCUUGUGUCUCCCUAAAAUAUACAAAAACAAGUUGUGGCCCAACCACCUUAGGCACAUUUUCUCAGGAUCUCCUGAGGGCUGUGUCACAGGACAUUGCUCACUUAUAUUUGGCUCAGAAUAAAUCUCUUCAAAUAUUUUACAGAGUUUGGCUCUUUUCAUUGACAAUGUACACAAACAACAUGGGAGAACCAAAAAUGUGUAAAUAAUUUUU